rnacentral:rRNA from 1 species
AGAGUUUGAUCCUGGCUCAGAACGAACGCUGGCGGCAGGCUUAACACAUGCAAGUCGAACGCCCCCCUCGGGGGGAGUGGCAGACGGGUGAGUAACACGUGGGAACCGACCCAAAGGUACGGAAUAACUCGAGGAAACUCGUGCUAAUACCGUAUAAGCCCUACGGGGGAAAGAUUUAUCGCCAUUGGACGGGCCCGCGUCGGAUUAGCUAGUUGGUGAGGUAAAAGCUCACCAAGGCUACGAUCCGUAGCUGGUCUGAGAGGAUGAUCAGCCACACUGGGACUGAGACACGGCCCAGACUCCUACGGGAGGCAGCAGUGGGGAAUAUUGGACAAUGGGGGAAACCCUGAUCCAGCCAUGCCGCGUGGGUGAAGAAGGCCUUAGGGUUGUAAAUCCCUUUCAGCGGGGAAGAUAAUGACGGUACCCGCAGAAGAAGCCCCGGCUAACUCCGUGCCAGCAGCCGCGGUAAUACGGAGGGGGCUAGCGUUGUUCGGAAUUACUGGGCGUAA